rnacentral:rRNA from 1 species
GGAAUAUAGGUCAAUGGGCGAGAGCCUGAACCAGCCAAGUAGCGUGCAGGAAGACGGCCCUACGGGUUGUAAACUGCUUUUAUCAGGGGAUAAAGUGUGGGACGCGUCCCUCAUUGCAGGUACCUGAUGAAUAAGGACCGGCUAAUUCCGUGCCAGCAGCCGCGGUAAUACGGAAGGUCCGGGCGUUAUCCGGAUUUAUUGGGUUUAAAGGGAGCGCAGGCCGGCUUUUAAGCGUGACGUGAAAUGUAGACGCUCAACGUCUGAAUUGCGUCGCGAACUGGUAGUCUUGAGUGAGUUAGAUGUUGGCGGAAUUCGUGGUGUAGCGGUGAAAUGGUUAGAUAUCACGAAGAACUCCGAUUGCGAAGGCAGCCAACAAGGCCUUUACUGACGCUAAAGCUCGAAGGUGCGGGUAUCGAACA